CUUAGCGCCGUGGAGGGGGGCGGUUGGAGGAGCUUUUGUCUCUCCUUUCCGUUAUUUUUUUUGCUUUCUUUUUAGUUUGUCUUUCUUUUUUGGUUGUUUUGCGGUUGGGCUAGAAAGGGCAACGCAAAUAACGAAGGAGACGCAAAUGGUGUCCUACUUUGCCUUUGUUGGUGAAAAAGAAAGAAGACAGGGGAGGGAGAAAGGGAGGGAAGAGGGAGGAAAUCUCCCAAAGAAAGACAGCGGCGGUGCUGGCGCUAGCUAUCGCGUGGCUACAGCUCUUUCAGGAUUGCUUCUCUUUUUGUCCCAUGGGGCCACACAACAUGAUUUCCUGAAGUAGCCAAACGUUGCAGCACCCCUCKGUCCCGAUGCACUCGGGAGUCAUAAAACAUUCAGCAUGCCAGAUAGCACAUGGGAAUUAUACCUGCUUGUUUCCUAGACAACCAACAACGCAGAAAGUGUGCAAGGCUGGGAGGCAUCACAUCAAUCUUUUAUAAACCUGAGUGUCAGCGGUUUCAGAAACGAUUCUAGUUUUGCUCCCUGACAACCCGAGUUUAUAGCCAUCAGUCGCAGGGAAGGACAAUGAUGAGGUACAAGAGACCGUGCAGUAUCAGCCCUCACCUUAUUGCCAAUUCCGGUUAGUACAAUGCAAGCAGUUAGCUGUAUGGUUUCAGUAGCGCAAAUCGUUUGACACAUCCACCUUUAGAAGCGUCUGGUUUGCCCAUUCCCAGACACAUCCUGGCGUCAUCCUAUCAGGGGAUGUGGAGCUACACAAAUCACAAUAAACCCACUUUAUAGCCCUGCGAAUCCUGGAGCCUCAUCUCAACCGCAGCCUCUACCGUCUCCUGCGUGGUGGUAAACAUGUGAUCUUUUUGAGCUGAUGAAAGAUGACAGCGCUGACAGCUGAACACGUCCACGAGAGUCACUCUGUGAUGGCAAUAGUCCCGCAACAUGGUGCCAUAAGUGAAAUGCCAGCAGGAUUCCGGCAAAACCCGAAUUUCAACAAUUAGACGGGAUUAGGUGGUGCAAUCUGUCUGGAACUGCACAGCAGAGGAUGGAUCAAUAUCUCUACCCAACACCAAACACAAACUCCAAAAACAGCAGUCGGAGACUGGAGACAGACACAACAGUGAACUGCUAGAAUCUUCUCAACUCAUCUCCAAAGAAAUGAUUGAUGAUGUACAGUGCCUUCAGAAAGUAUUCACACCCCUUGACUUUUUCCACAUAUUGUUGUGUUACAGC